rnacentral:rRNA from 1 species
GACGAACGCUGGCGGCGUGCUUAACACAUGCAAGUCGAGCGGAAAGGCCCUGCUUUUGUGGGGUGCUCGAGUGGCGGACGGGUGAGUAACACGUGAGUAACCUGCCCUUGACUUUGGGAUAACUUCAGGAAACUGGGGCUAAUACCGGAUAGGAGCUCCUGCUGCAUGGUGGGGGUUGGAAAGUUUCGGCGGUUGGGGAUGGACUCGCGGCUUAUCAGCUUGUUGGUGGGGUAGUGGCUUACCAAGGCUUUGACGGGUAGCCGGCCUGAGAGGGUGACCGGCCACAUUGGGACUGAGAUACGGCCCAGACUCCUACGGGAGGCAGCAGUGGGGAAUAUUGCACAAUGGGCGGAAGCCUGAUGCAGCAACGCCGCGUGCGGGAUGACGGCCUUCGGGUUGUAAACCGCUUUCGCCUGUGACGAAGCGUGAGUGACGGUAAUGGGUAAAGAAGCACCGGCUAACUACGUG